GUUUUAAUAUGAUAGGGACAGACUUUUUCAGUAUCUAAGUUUCUAUUAUGUUUCAGAUAAAAAGUAUUUGUCUAAAGGACAACUAUAUUUACUUCCGAGUAAAAUAUUGAUUACCGUUUUUAUCUAGUUGGCUGUUUUGAAACAUAUUAAAAUAAUUUUAUUGUAACUGUAUUGAACUGUUAUAGAAGAUUCUGAGGAAAUUGGUGAUGUUUCAGGUUUAGUUUCUUUACCUCUAUUCCAAGGGAAAAUGGAGGUUAGUCAUUCUGGAAGUGGGUCUUUAAGGAAAAAGGUGGGGGGAAGUAGUUUUAGGUUUUAGCACUACUCUGUAUAAAUACUUGAACUCAAACAGCACUGUUCUAGGGAGAAAUAAAUAGCAAAACAAUUUUAAAAUCACAACUACAGCCACUCAAAAACGGGGAAUGUAGAACCAACAAUAUGAAGAGCAUAAUUUGACCGUAGAAGAGAAUGACUCUUUUAAGAUAGUGGAUAGCAAGACAUUCUGUGAGCCAGACUGAACCAAGUCAAUAAUAGUUUAUUGAGGUAAUAAUAUGCAGUUUUAAACUUCACCUUCUGACUCAUCUGGGUAGAUCUAGUUAACAAUAAAAGAUCUAACAAAAGAAUAAGAGAAUGUUUAAAAUUUGUUUCUUAAACCUAAGGUACUCAGGUAAAAUGGGGAGUAGUGGAGAGAAUCAUAUAUCCUUAAACUUGAACAUGUAUUUAUUUAUACUUUCUAUAUGAUAAUAUUGAAUUUUUUUGUCCUGCUAAUCUGUAUACAUGACUUAUGAUGGACUUAUUUUUACUAAAUAAUGUAUAAAUAAAAUCAAUAAAAGAAUUUUCACGUUCUUUAAAAUUUUAAUUAAUUAAUUAAUAUGUUCCCACAUUGAACUUUGUGAACAACAUAUUUUGUAAGGGAUUACACACCCACUCAAAUUAGGGAGUUUCUAAAUCAGUGGUUAUCAAUUUCUUUUAGAUCAUGUGGUAGAGACUUGAAGAGAGGUUUUCCAGGACAAGCCAAGAUGCAAGAAACAAGCUGGAGACCUGAUUUGUAAAAUCAAGGAUUUGCAGGACAGGCUUGCAUGCAGACCAAGAAAAGGUGAGAAGAGAAGAAAAGACACAAGAGGAAAGGAGAAGAGAGCAAAACAGAGGAGAGGAGGAGAUAGGAGAGGAAAGGAGAUGAAGAGAGGAAGGGAGAAGAAAGGAGAAGACAGGAGGGGAAAGGUCUUUUGUUUGCUAUAUGUCUGUUGUAUUCCAUUGAUUUAUCUUUCUAUUUCUUAGGCAGUACUAAAUGAUUUUGAUUACUAUUUUAUAAAACAAAUUGAAAUCUGGUAUUGCUAGACCUCCUUCCUUUAUAUUUUUUCAUUAAUUAUUUUUAUAUUCUUAAUCUUUUAUUCUUUUAAUUAUGUUUUGUUAUUAUUUUUUCUAGUUCAAUAAAAUAAUUUUUCACCUCCA
rnacentral:lncRNA from 1 species